AGAUGCAGAGACGGCUGUGCAACCAUCAGGCUUCGUCACACACGCAUGUAUGAUAUCGGCCCAUUAAGAGUAUCAUCCCCCAGUGGAGCUUUGAAGGAUGAAAGGAGGACGGGGGAUAUUAGCAGAUAUGAAGAGGUGGAGGAUCAGAGUGGACAGCUUCUAAAACUCAUUCACAUCAGCGACAAAAGGGCUGAUUCAGUGUUCAGAUAUAGUUCAAAGUAAAAUGUGGAGUAUUUGUGUUUUGUUUGAUUGUGAAGCCUAUUUGUAGCUAGCUUAUAAAGUAUUAUUAUUAUUAUUUUUUUAUUUUUUAAGGUGCAAAAUGUAGCUUUGCAGAAGAUGUUUUAAUCAGAAGGGAAAGAUCUUCAUUGACUUUUUUUUUUUUUUUUUUUAGGCCUUAA